rnacentral:lncRNA from 1 species
AUGAAAGCCAAGAACCAGAUCAUGACUCAUGUGAGCCAAAACAUCAGCAGCACAGUUUUGUUCACGAAACGCAUGUUUGAGAGAACAAAACCAAUCCUACUGCAUCUUCAACUUGCAACAAUUUAUCAAGCUAAAAAGAGAAUGAGUGGAAGCAAUGGAACCAGCAAGAAGAGACACCCAUCAGUAGAACCAACACCCAGAUUGACAGAAAAGCCCUUAAUCCAAUUCCCUGCAGAAUUUCUAAUCAAGCCACCUGCUCCAAUGCCUCUCAAAUUAUAG